UGGUUAAGCUGUUGGGCUUGAGACCAGAGGAUCCUUGGAUCAAAUCCCAGCCUGACUGGAAAAUCACUAUGGGCCCUUGGGCAAAGUCUUUAAUCCCCUAUUGCUCCUGGUUUGUAGUGGGCACCUUUCAUGGCAGCAGCCUAACAUCGAGGUGAAUGUGAGACAUUUGAUGGGUAAAGCGCUUUGGGUAUCUGAAGCAGAUG